rnacentral:rRNA from 1 species
GACGAACGCUGGCGGCGUGCCUAAUACAUGCAAGUCGAACGCAGUGGGGACGGGUGAGUAACAAGUGGGUAACCUCCCAUCAGAGGGGAUAACACUUGGAAAAAGGUGCGAAACCGAUACUGAUGGAUGGACCCGCGGUGCAUUAGCUAGUUGGUGAGGGAACGGCUCACCAAGGCCACGAAUCAUAGCCGACCUGAGAGGGUUAUCGGCCACACUGGGACUUAGACACGGCCCAGACUCCUACGGGAGGCAGCAGUAGGGAAUCUUCGGUAAUGGACGAAAGUUUGACCGAGCAACGCCGGGUGAGUGAAGAAGGUUUUCGGACUGUAAAACUCUGGUAUUAGGGAAGCGGUACCUAAUCAGAAAGCCACGGCUAACUACGUGCCAGCAGCCGCGGUAAUAC